rnacentral:rRNA from 1 species
AAAUUGAAGAGUUUGAUCAUGGCUCAGAUUGAACGCUGGCGGCAGGCCUAACACAUGCAAGUCGAACGGUAACAGGAAGAAGCUUGCUUCUUUGCUAACGAGUGGCGGACGGGUGAGUAAUGUCUGGGAAACUGCCUGAUGGAGGGGGAUAACUACUGGAAACGGUAGCUAAUACCGCAUAACGUCGCAAGACCAAAGAGGGGGACCUUCGGGCCUCUUGCCAUCGGAUGUGCCCAGAUGGGAUUAGCUUGUUGGUGGGGUAACGGCUCACCAAGGCGACGAUCCCUAGCUGGUCUGAGAGGAUGACCAGCCACACUGGAACUGAGACACGGUCCAGACUCCUACGGGAGGCAGCAGUGGGGAAUAUUGCACAAUGGGCGCAAGCCUGAUGCAGCCAUGCCGCGUGUAUGAAGAAGGCCUUCGGGUUGUAAAGUACUUUCAGCGGGGAGGAAGGGAGUAAAGUUAAUACCUUU